rnacentral:lncRNA from 1 species
UUGGUUUGUUUAGUGUUCAGGUCCCCAUAUUUAUAACUUGAGUUGUCUAGUUAAAUGUCAUUAUGAUUGUGCUUACUGAUUAGAUAAGACUAAGUGAGUUUGCUGUGAUGCUUAGUUGGCCUUAUUCAGUGGCGGACUCAGAAUUUUCGUUCAGGGGGUUCGAAAAAUAAAAGUAUAAACGUGUAAAUAAGCCUUUGAAAAUUGGAACCGUGAUUUUUUUUGGAUUUGAAACCACACUUUAGCAAAAAAAUUUAAUUAAAAAAAAAACUUAAAAAAAAAGAAAAACAGAACUGAAAAUUAAAAAAAAAACUAAAAAAACUGAAAAAGAAAACGCUUUCACUGGGAUUUGAACCAGUGACACACAACUUAAUUUCCAAGGGAAAUGCCAUUAUGCCAUCAGUUUCUCUUUGUUAUUGAGGGGGUUCAAAAUAUAUAUAUUUACAGAAAUACAGAAAAUUUACUUUAAUAUACAGUGUAAUUUUUUGCCGAGGGGUUCGAGUGAACCCCCUGGAACCAACGUGGGUCCGCCCCUGGCCUUAUUGCCUUCCAAAAUAUUGAAAUUGUCUUGGUAGUCAUUUUGAUGUGAAGCUCUUAACCAUCCUCUAGCAUGAUUAUCACAUUGUAGUUUAUUGUUGGUUGAUUUCAUUUUGAUCAUUCUUGGAUUUAUCUACUUAUUAUGAAUGAUUUCUUUUAAUAUUUACAGAUAAGUUUCUUUCUUAAAAAUGAUCAAAUUAGCUCUAUGAAUUGUCUUUAGUUUGAAUACACCUACAUAUCAUUAGUCUAAAUGCAUUAUCUUUCUGUUGAAAAUAAUGACUCUCGCUUCAUCUGAGGCAUGUGAUUCCUAUUUUAAGCUUGUAUAUUAAUAUUGCUCUGUUGGGUUCCAUUUUAGUAGUUAAUUAAUUAAUUCAUACCUCCCUCUCUGUGUCGUUACUGCAUAUGUUCAUGGUUUGCCUACUCCCCUUUGUUGGCGAGUUUGUUUGCUGGUAAUAUCAAAUAUUCAUAUUAAUUCUUUCCCCUUUCUUAUUCCACAUUUGAUAUUUACGGAGUCUACUUGGACUCAUCUCCUCGUAUUAUCGCAUCGCAGGUUGGGUUGAAACCCAACACUCCUUUAUCGAGUCAGCCUGCGGUUGGUUCAUCUAUUAACAAAAAAAAUGAUUAAGAAAAAUAGAGCUAUUUCGGAAAAAGUUGGUGC